rnacentral:rRNA from 1 species
GAUGAACGCUGGCGGCGUGCCUAAUACAUGCAAGUCGAGCGGACGGACGAGAAGCUUGCUUUUCUGAUGUUAGCGGCGGACGGGUGAGUAACACGUGGAUAACCUACCUAUAAGACUGGGAUAACUUCGGGAAACCGGAGCUAAUACCGGAUAAUAUUUUGAACCGCAUGGUUCAAAAGUGAAAGACGGUCUUGCUGUCACUUAUAGAUGGAUCCGCGCUGCAUUAGCUAGUUGGUAAGGUAACGGCUUACCAAGGCAACGAUGCAUAGCCGACCUGAGAGGGUGAUCAGCCACACUGGAACUGAGACACGGUCCAGACUCCUACGGGAGGCAGCAGUAGGGAAUCUUCCGCAAUGGGCGAAAGCCUGACGGAGCAACGCCGCGUGAGUGAUGAAGGUCUUCGGAUCGUAAAACUCUGUUAUUAGGGAAGAACAGAUGUGUAAGUAACUGUGCACAUCUUGACGGUACCUAAUCAGAAAGCCACGGCUAACUACGUG